AACUAAGACAUCUUCCGCCGGCUUUGGUGCUUUGUUUUUCGUUGAAAAUAUAAAUCUUCGAGGGUUUUCUUUUUAUCAACACGAUAUUCAGUAAAAAUGAGUGGUGGUGUUUAUGGAGGAGAUGAAGUGGGAGCUCUUGUCUUUGAUGUGGGUUCAUAUUCCUUCAGAGCUGGUUAUGCAGGGGAAGACUGUCCUAAGGCAGAGUUGCCUACUCACGUUGGGGUAGUGGAAGAAGGAGAUACAGCAAUGGAAACUGAUGAUAAAAGUGCACAACCAGAGAGGAGCUACUUCCUGGAUACCAACUCCAUCAAAGUACCCCGCAAAGGAAUGGAAAUCAACACAUUUCUGAAAGACGGAAUGAUUGAUAACUGGGAGGUGUUUGAGAAAGUGUUGGACCACACCUACAGUCGCCACAUCAGAUCUGAGUCACACUUACACCCGGUCAUGAUGUCAGAGCCUGCGUGGAACAGCAAAGCAAAGAGGGAGAAAAUUACUGAAUUGAUGUUUGAAAAGUACAAUGUUCCAGCAUUCUUUUUAUGUAAAAAUGCGGUGCUUUCUGCCUUUGCCAAUGGUCGAUCCACAGGUUUGGUUUUAGACUCUGGAGCCUCCCAUACCACAGCUGUACCUGUGUAUGAUGGCUAUGUCAUCCAACAAGCCAUAGUGAAGUCUCCUCUAGCGGGGGAUUUUAUCACAAUGGAAUGCAAAAAACUCAUGGAAGAACAAAAAAUUGAGGUUAUUCCACCAUACAUGAUUAAAAGCAAGGAGCCAGUGAAUUUCAUGGACCCUCCUAAAUGGACCAAGAAAGAGCUGCCAGAGGUCACUAAAUCAUUUCAUAACUACAUGGUCAAGUUCUUCAAGUUAUGGAUCAACCAUAUGAACAAAGUCAGGCAGAAGCGAUGCCCACUGUGCAUUAUGAGUUCCCCAAUGGGUAUAACAGGGACUUUGGUGCCGAGAGGUUUCGGACCUGUGAAGGGCUGUUUGACCCAUCUGUUAUUAAGGAUCUCCCGAGUGGAAACAGCAUGUUGAGUGUGGGGCACACAGUCACCACCAGUGUGGGAAUGUGCGAUAUAGACAUCAGACCUAGUUUAUACAACAGUGUGAUCGUAGUGGGAGGUAACUCUCUGAUGCAGGGAUUCACAGACAGACUGAACAGAGAUCUGAGUGCUAAAACACCGCCAAGCAUGAGGUUAAAGAUUAUUUCUGCUACCGGAAGUGCAGAGCGCAGGUUCAGCAGUUGGAUUGGCGGAUCCAUCCUCGCCUCAUUGGGUUCUUUCCAGCAAAUGUGGAUCUCUAAGCAGGAGUACGAUGAAGGCGGAAAAGGUUGCGUGGAAAGGAAGUGUCCGUAGUUGAGGUCAUCAGUUGACUGUUGAACUUGGAGAAUUCAGUGUUCAGUUCAUGUGUACAUAAUCAUUAUCAUUAUCCCAUUACCAUCUUCAUCCUAAUUAUGUAGUUCAUCUAAAUGUGUAUUUGUCACCUACAUGUAUAAUAAACGAGGCCAAACAGCU
rnacentral:misc_RNA from 1 species